rnacentral:lncRNA from 1 species
GAUGUCAUAAUGAGUGAUCGGACUCCACUUCCUGGUCUGAAUUCAUUAGGAACACCAUAUACUGCUGUUUCUAACAAGGAAAAUGUCAAUAAUAUCGACUCUGCCAACAUCGACUCUGCCAUUGGGUCCUCCCAACUGACUGUGUUACGACCACCACUUCAAUCCUACAGAGGCAGCAGUUCAUAUGGUAAGCAAUUGUGGCUCAUGUUAACUACCAUACAGAGUAAAAAGAACUGUUGCUCAUGUUGUCUUGUACCAAAUUAACACUUAUAAUGCAGAAGCAAAACAAGCACUUAAGAGGCAGAGAGAAAAUGCCCGCUAUGAGCAACAUAAGCAACUGAUAUUGCAAAGCCUACGUGACAAACGGUGUCAAACCAAAUCGUCAACAAUAGUCCUUACAACUAGAGAACAAAAUCAAUCCGAUACAGCUGAUGCCACCUACAUGAAACACCGUAUAUCCAAUCUUUGAUUUCCUAACUGACAGUCACUCAAUGUUUCUUUAGCUAAUGAAGAUUGUGAUUGGCUACACACAAAUGAUACGUAGCAGAGACAAAACUUUGGAACAAGGAUGAGGCCAGACAACAUACUCACUGCGCCGUCAUGUGGAUACAAUCCCAUCGACAAAUAUAAUGGUGCUUUAAUUGACUACUGCUUGGUUCAUACUUUAAUUACGGAGGGUCCACAAAACAUGCUUCUUGAUGCUGUGAUAACCAACGAUGGAGAUACAAUCCCCGAAUCGACAGAGGCGAGUUUUCUUUCCACAUCUCAUUACUAUUCUAAUUCUAACGGCACAGAUCAGUUUGUAAUUUUUUAGUACAAAUAUCAUAUCAGAAAGAUAUUCUCUCUAUCAUAAUAUUCUACUACCAUGUGUUUCAGCUACCGAGCGAUGACGAAUCAAGUGAAAUACUCAACAAUAAUGAAGUGGAGGAAAAUAAUUGCACGAAGAGCCCAGAAUAUACACCAAUCCUUGAAGAAAACAUAGCAAAAAGAGAGGCCAAAGAUUCUGAACAUACACAGGUGACUUUCCUUUUUCAACUAUAUCUUCCAAAGUCAUUCUAAUUAUAUUAUAUCCUACAUACGGGUAAUACUUUUAAUAUUAUUCUCAGAAACUAACCCACAACGAAACAAGUCAACAAAUUGUGGUGGCUGAGGACAAGGAAUUGGCCCAUCAAUGAAUUGCAAGGACCUCACUGAUACGGUUAGUAGUUAGUCCUACUGCCCCAUAUUUUCAUAAGUAGUUUUUUUUUCUUAUUUCUCGCUUGUGAUGCUUAUACUUUUUCCAUUUGUUGGUACAACAGCUAGAAGGACUGGAGGAUUUAUUCAAAUAUGCAUCCGAUCACAUGGAAUUAAAAUCCGAUAAGUGGACUGAUCUAAAUUUUACAACAUGGGAAAUAGAAGAAUAAUUAAGAGCAGUCUUCAGAUGGAUGGGUACGCCUUCUAAUAUAACUCAGAGCUUUUACCUUAUUGGAUGCCAAUGCAAUUGACACAACAUCUCUCAUGAGAUCUGGCCUAAAUAAU